GAGAAGAUACAGGCACAGUGAAAACGUGACCUUAUUGAAAACUACUACUUAUUGUCUAUAUCAAAUGCCACUUCUAUUCUUCAGGUCCCCAGAAGAAAAGCUACAGCCCAUCUGCCUGUCUCCAGCAAUGCCAGCCAGAGCCCUUCAAUUCUGGGGGAGAUUUCUGGCUUUGAAUGCUGAGCACCUGGUCCUGCUGCACUGACCCGGAACACCAAGCACUUCUGGUCAGUGGCUGCCCUCAGAGAAGAGCAGGGACACGGUGCUCUCUGGCAAUAGAACACAAGCCUCACUGCAUAAAGAGAGGAUAUUGCUGAGUGUGGAGGACGAGGUACUAAGGCAGGCAAGUUUUCUGAUAUGCCAGCAAGAUUUGCACUUCAAACUUCAAAGGCAGUCCUGAUAAACCCAACAAAGUGUGGUUCAGCAGAUUAAAACAUAUCCUGCCUCUUCCCACCAGAACUUGCUGUUGCUCUGCUGAACAGAGCAUCUGUGCAUCAGAAACAGCAAAUUGAAAGAACAACGGUAUUUAUUUAAAAUACGCCUGCAGAUGGGCACCAGAACGUAAGAAGAUUAUGAAAUUAUUAGAAAGAGUCCAAAGCGGAGUUAUGAAGGCAGCGAAAAGCCCAGAGGGCAAAGAUGUAGGAGGAAGGAAGAGGACAGAAGGAGCUGACCCUGCUGCGGUCCCGGCGCUUCCCACGCGCGGAGCAGAGGCUCAGCGCUGCCACCUCGCGUCCCUCCGCUCCCGGGGCUGCAGCGUGCGGGAACACGAGGAAGUUUCCCGUCUUCCCAAGUUUUAAACGGCAGCGAAGUGUUGCCAAUGCUCUUAAAAGUGCAUGUUCUAGGUGGAAGCUGAGUGCUUACAUUUUGACACCCGUGCUUCAGAUUUGGGGAGCUUGAAGCACUUUCACCGCAGUUGUCGGAGGAUUAGGAGUGGAAGCAAUUAACUUCAAGGAAGCAGCCAAGAAAUCGUAAUAAAAUGCUUUUACAAAGUUUCACAUCAUAUUCUUGCAAUUGCUUUAUUAAGCAAUUCUAAACCGUGCUUUUUACAAAAGCUUUCAUCCAGGAAAUAGCUCGCUGUGCCCGUGCACCUCUGGGAGCAGAUGGGGGUGGCCAUUUGCAUGGAGGUGACCGCUCACCUGGGGUCGGACGGGUUUCUGGAAGGCAGGGCCUUUUGACCUGAAGCACAACGGAACGGGAAUGCUCUCUGGAGCUUUUUAUUCCUAUAUCCGCCUAUUGCUUUCGUUAUUUGCUCCCCUUUGACCUGCGCAGCGAUGUGGGAACGUCUUACACACCGUGUAGUUCGAAAGAAAAC